AUUUAUAUAGUUUAAAAUAAAACAUUACAUUUUCAUUGUAAAAAUAAAAUUCAAAUUUUUAUAAAUU
rnacentral:tRNA from 1 species